rnacentral:rRNA from 1 species
AACGAACGCUGGCGGCAGGCUUAACACAUGCAAGUCGAGCGCCACGCAAGGGGAGCGUCAGACGGGUGAGUAACGCGUGGGAAUCUACCCAUCUCUACGGAAUAACGCAUGGAAACGUGUGCUAAUACCGUAUACGUCCUUCGGGAGAAAGAUUUAUCGGAGAUGGAUGAGCCCGCGUUGGAUUAGCUAGUUGGUGGGGUAAAGGCCUACCAAGGCGACGAUCCAUAGCUGGUCUGAGAGGAUGAUCAGCCACACUGGGACUGAGACACGGCCCAGACUCGUGCGGGAGGGAGGAGUGGGGAAUAUUGUACAAUGGGCGCAAGCCUGAUCCGGCCAGGCCGCGUGAGUGAUGAAGGCCCUAGGGUUGUAAAGCUCUUUCACCGGGGAGUUUACUGACGGUAACCGGAGAAGAAGCCCCGGCUAACUUCGUGCCAGCCGCCGCCGUAAUAC